GAGUUUGAUCCUGGCUCAGAACGAACGCUGGCGGCAGGCCUAACACAUGCAAGUCGAGCGGGUGCAGCGAUGCACCAGCGGCGCACGGGUGAGUAACGCGUGGGAACCUGCCCUUUGGUUUGGAACAACCCUGGGAAACUAGGGCUGAUACCGGAUGAGCCCCGCGAGGGGGAAAGAUUUAUCGCCGAAGGAGGGGCCCGCGUCCGAUUAGCUAGUUGGUGGGGUAAUGGCCUACCAAGGCUGCGAUCGGUAGCCGGUCUGAGAGGACGAUCGGCCACACUGGGACUGAGACACGGCCCAGACUCCUACGGGAGGCAGCAGUGGGGAAUAUUGGACAAUGGGCGCAAGCCUGAUCCAGCCAUGCCGCGUGGGUGAUGAAGGCCUUC
rnacentral:rRNA from 1 species